rnacentral:ncRNA from 1 species
CACGUGCCGGGAUUCCCGGCAGACGAGGAAGAGGUUUAUCGAAACGUCAGCGGAUGCCUCUCGGUAAGCUGCAAACCGUAAGCAGACCUACAAACCCCUUUGGUAACAAAGGAACACAGAAGG